GACGAACGCUGGCGGCGUGCCUAACACAUGCAAGUCGAACGAAGUGGCGAACGGGUGAGUAACGUGUAAUCAACCUGCCCUUCAGAGGGGGACAACAGUUGGAAACGACGCCUAAUACCGCAAACUGAAGGAGGGGAUUGCGUCUGAUUAGCUAGUUGGAGGGGUAACGGCCCACCAAGGCGAUGAUCAGUAGCCGGUCUGAGAGGAUGAACGGCCACAUUGGGACUGAGACACGGCCCAGACUCCUACGGGAGGCAGCAGUUGGGAAUCUUCCGCAAUGGACGGAAGUCUGACGGAGCAACGCCGCGUGAGUGAUGACGGCCUUCGGGUUGGAAAGCUCUGUUAAUCGGGACGCGGUACCGAAAUAGAAAGCCACGGCUAACUACGUGCCAGCAGCCGCGGUAAUAC
rnacentral:rRNA from 1 species